UAAAGCUGUCUAGUGUGGCCUUGAAGUUGCCAAGGGUAUGUAGCGAUGUUUAA
rnacentral:tRNA from 1 species